rnacentral:rRNA from 1 species
UACGAAGGGUGCAGGCGUUAAUCGGAAUUACUGGGCGUAAAGGGUGCGUAGGCGGUUCGUUAAGUCUGUCGUGAAAUCCCCGGGCUCAACCUGGGAAUGGCGAUGGAUACUGGCGAGCUAGAGUGUGUCAGAGGAUGGUGGAAUUCCCGGUGUAGCGGUGAAAUGCGUAGAGAUCGGGAGGAACAUCAGUGGCGAAGGCGGCCAUCUGGGACAACACUGACGCUGAAGCACGAAAGCGUGGGGAGCAAACAGG